rnacentral:rRNA from 1 species
GCCUAAUACAUGCAAGUCGAGCGAACGGACGAGAAGCUUGCCUCUCUGAUGUUAGCGGCGGACGGGUGAGUAACACGUGGAUAACCUACCUAUAAGACUGGGAUAACUUCGGGAAACCGGAGCUAAUACCGGAUAAUAUUUUGAACCGCAUGGUUCUAAAGUGAAAGACGGUCUUGCUGUCACUUAUAGAUGGAUCCGCGCUGCAUUGGCUAGUUGGUAAGGUAACGGCUUACCAAGGCAACGAUGCAUAGCCGACCUGAGAGGGUGAUCGGCCACACUGGAACUGAGACACGGUCCAGACUCCUACGGGAGGCAGCAGUAGGGAAUCUUCCGCAAUGGGCGAAAGCCUGACGGAGCAACGCCGCGUGAGUGAUGAAGGUCUUCGGAUCGUAAAACUCUGUUAUUAGGGAAGAACAUAUGUGUAAGUAACUGUGCACAUCUUGACGGUACCUAAUCAGAAAGCCACGGCUAACUACGUGCCAGCAGCCGCGGUAAUACGUAGGUGGCAAGCGUUAUCCGGAAUUAUUGGGCGUAAAGCGCGCGUAGGCGGUUUUUUAAGUCUGAUGUGAAAGCCCACGGCUCAACCGUGGAGGGUCAUUGGAAACUGGAAAACUUGAGUGCAGAAGAGGAAAGUGGAAUUCCAUGUGUAGCGGUGAAAUGCGCAGAGAUAUGGAGGAACACCAGUGGCGAAGGCGACUUUCUGGUCU